AUUGAACGCUGGCGGCAGGCCUAACACAUGCAAGUCGAGCGGAAGAAGGGGGCUUGCUCCCGGAUUCAGCGGCGGACGGGUGAGUAACGCGUAGGAAUCUACCUGAUAGUGGGGGAUAACGUUUCGAAAGGAACGCUAAUACCGCAUACGUUCUGAGGAAGAAAGCAGGGGAUCGCAAGACCUUGCGCUAUCAGAUGAGCCUGCGUCCGAUUAGCUAGUUGGUGGGGUAAAGGCCUACCAAGGCGACGGUCGGUAACUGGUCUGAGAGGAUGAUCAGUCACACCGGAACUGAGACACGGUCCAGACUCCUACGGGAGGCAGCAGUGGGGAAUAUUGGACAAUGGGGGCAACCCUGAUCCAGCCAUGCCGCGUGUGUGAAGAAGGCCUUCGGGUUGUAAAGCACUUUAAGCGGGGAGGAAGGCUCUAUGGCUAAUAUCCAUGGGGAUUGACGUUACCCGCAGAAUAAGCACCGGCAAACUUCGUGCCAGCCGCCGCGGUAA
rnacentral:rRNA from 1 species